AGAGUUUGAUCCUGGCUCAGAUUGAACGCUGGCGGCAUGCUUUACACAUGCAAGUCGAACGGCAGCACGGGUGCUUGCACCUGGUGGCGAGUGGCGAACGGGUGAGUAAUGCACCGGAACGUACCCAGUAAUGGGGGAUAACACAUCGAAAGAUGUGCUAAUACCGCAUACGCCCUGAGGGGGAAAGCGGGGGAUCGUAAGACCUCGCGUUAUUGGAGCGGCCGAUGCCGGAUUAGCUAGUUGGUGAGGUAAGAGCUCACCAAGGCGACGAUCCGUAGCUGGUCUGAGAGGACGACCAGCCACACUGGGACUGAGACACGGCCCAGACUCCUACGGGAGGCAGCAGUGGGGAAUUUUGGACAAUGGGCGCAAGCCUGAUCCAGCCAUGCCGCGUGAGUGAAGAAGGCCUUCGGGUUG
rnacentral:rRNA from 1 species